rnacentral:rRNA from 1 species
GUCCACGCCCUAAACGAUGUCGACUGGUUGGUUGGGGUUUGACACUCUCAGUAACGAAGCUAACGCGUGAAGUCGACCGCCUGGGGAGUACGGCCGCAAGGUUAAAACUCAAAGGAAUUGACGGGGACCCGCACAAGCGGUGGAUUAUGUGGAUUAAUUCGAUGCAACGCGAAAAACCUUACCUACCCUUGACAUGUCCUGGAGGCCCCUGAGAGGGGGCUGUGUCCGAAAGGGAACGGGAACACAGGUGCUGCAUGGCUGUCGU